UUUAGUGACAAUACAACAACAACAACUACUACAACACCGAAGCCUACGUUAAAGCCGACUAAUAGUCCACCAGAUCUUCCUGAUGUUGGAGAAUCAGAAAAAGAACAUAAAAGCAGUUUGACAAUAUUCUUUAUUCUACUUGUCAUAGCAAUAUGUAUCCUGAUGACACAUAUGCUGCUACAGACAAAGUUCCACUACCUGCCGGAAAGUAUUGCUGUUGUAUUAGUUGGUGCCUUGAUUGGACUAGUUCUCAAGAUUUUCAAAUUUGGAAAUUGGAGUAAAGAAGAGGCGUUUCCACCAACUAUAUUCUUCAUUGUUUUGUUGCCACCUAUUAUAUUUGAAUCAGGAUAUAAUCUUCACAAGG